GGUUAAGCGACUAAGCGUACACGGUGGAUGCCCUGGCAGUCAGAGGCGAUGAAGGACGUGCUAAUCUGCGAAAAGCGUCGGUAAGGUGAUAUGAACCGUUACAGCCGGCGAUGUCCGAAUGGGGAAACCCAGUGCAAUUCGUUGCACUAUCGUUAACUGAAUACAUAGGUUAACGAGGCGAACCGGGGGAACUGAAACAUCUAAGUACCCCGAGGAAAAGAAAUCAACCGAGAUUCCCCCAGUAGCGGCGAGCGAACGGGGAGCAGCCCGGAGUCUGAAUCAGCUUGUGUGUUAGUGGAAGCGUCUGGAAAGUCGCAGGGUACAGGGUGAUACUCCCGUACACUAAAACACACAGGUUGUGAACUCGAAGAGUAGGGCGGGACACGUGGUAUCCUGUCUGAAUAUGGGGGGACCAUCCUCCAAGGCUAAAUACUCCUGACUGACCGAUAGUGAACCAGUACCGUGAGGGAAAGGCGAAAAGAACCCCGGCGAGGGGAGUGAAAAAGAACCUGAAACCGUGUACGUACAAGCAGUAGGAGCCCACUAGUUGGGUGACUGCGUACCUUUUGUAUAAUGGGUCAGCGACUUAUAUUCUGUAGCAAGGUUAACCGUAUAGGGGAGCCGCAGGGAAACCGAGUCUUAACUGGGCGUUAAGUUGCAGGGUAUAGACCCGAAACCCGGUGAUCUAGCCAUGGGCAGGUUGAAGGUUGGGUAACACUAACUGGAGGACCGAACCGACUAAUGUUGAAAAAUUAGCGGAUGACUUGUGGCUGGGGGUGAAAGGCCAAUCAAACCGGGAGAUAGCUGGUUCUCCCCGAAAGCUAUUUAGGUAGCGCCUCGUGAACUCAUCUUCGGGGGUAGAGCACUGUUUCGGCUAGGGGGUCAUCCCGACUUACCAACCCGAUGCAAACUACGAAUACCGAAGAAUGUUAUCACGGGAGACACACGGCGGGUGCUAACGUCCGUCGUGAAGAGGGAAACAACCCAGACCGCCAGCUAAGGUCCCAAAGUCAUGGUUAAGUGGGAAACGAUGUGGGAAGGCCCAGACAGCCAGGAUGUUGGCUUAGAAGCAGCCAUCAUUUAAAGAAAGCGUAAUAGCUCACUGGUCGAGUCGGCCUGCGCGGAAGAUGUAACGGGGCUAAACCAUGCACCGAAGCUGCGGCAGCGACACUAUGUGUUGUUGGGUAGGGGAGCGUUCUGUAAGCCGUUGAAGGUGGCCUGUGAGGGUUGCUGGAGGUAUCAGAAGUGCGAAUGCUGACAUAAGUAACGAUAAUGCGGGUGAAAAACCCGCACGCCGGAAGACCAAGGGUUCCUGUCCAACGUUAAUCGGGGCAGGGUGAGUCGACCCCUAAGGCGAGGCCGAAAGGCGUAGUCGAUGGGAAACAGGUUAAUAUUCCUGUACUCGGUGUUACUGCGAAGGGGGGACGGAGAAGGCUAUGUUGGCCGGGCGACGGUUGUCCCGGUUUAAGCAUGUAGGCGGAUGUUCCAGGUAAAUCCGGAACGUUAUUAACGCUGAGGUGUGAUGACGAGGCACUACGGUGCUGAAGUGACAAAUGCCCUGCUUCCAGGAAAAGCCUCUAAGCAUCAGGUAACAUCAAAUCGUACCCCAAACCGACACAGGUGGUCAGGUAGAGAAUACCAAGGCGCUUGAGAGAACUCGGGUGAAGGAACUAGGCAAAAUGGUGCCGUAACUUCGGGAGAAGGCACGCUGAUGGUAGGUGAAGCGACUUGCUCGUGGAGCUGAAAUCAGUCGAAGAUACCAGCUGGCUGCAACUGUUUAUUAAAAACACAGCACUGUGCAAACACGAAAGUGGACGUAUACGGUGUGACGCCUGCCCGGUGCCGGAAGGUUAAUUGAUGGGGUUAUCCGUAAGGAGAAGCUCUUGAUCGAAGCCCCGGUAAACGGCGGCCGUAACUAUAACGGUCCUAAGGUAGCGAAAUUCCUUGUCGGGUAAGUUCCGACCUGCACGAAUGGCGUAAUGAUGGCCAGGCUGUCUCCACCCGAGACUCAGUGAAAUUGAACUCGCUGUGAAGAUGCAGUGUACCCGCGGCAAGACGGAAAGACCCCGUGAACCUUUACUAUAGCUUGACACUGAACACUGGUCCUUGAUGUGUAGGAUAGGUGGGAGGCUUUGAAGUGUGGACGCCAGUCUGCAUGGAGCCAUCCUUGAAAUACCACCCUUUAAUGGCUGGUGUUCUAACGUGGGCCCCUGAUCGGGGUUGCGGACAGUGUCUGGUGGGUAGUUUGACUGGGGCGGUCUCCUCCUAAAGAGUAACGGAGGAGCACGAAGGUCAGCUAAUCCUGGUCGGACAUCAGGAGGUUAGUGCAAUGGCAUAAGCUGGCUUGACUGCGAGCGUGACGGCGCGAGCAGGUGCGAAAGCAGGUCAUAGUGAUCCGGUGGUUCUGAAUGGAAGGGCCAUCGCUCAACGGAUAAAAGGUACUCCGGGGAUAACAGGCUGAUACCGCCCAAGAGUUCAUAUCGACGGCGGUGUUUGGCACCUCGAUGUCGGCUCAUCACAUCCUGGGGCUGAAGUAGGUCCCAAGGGUAUGGCUGUUCGCCAUUUAAAGUGGUACGCGAGCUGGGUUUAGAACGUCGUGAGACAGUUCGGUCCCUAUCUGCCGUGGGCGCUGGAGAAUUGAGGGGGGCUGCUCCUAGUACGAGAGGACCGGAGUGGACGCAUCACUGGUGUUCGGGUUGUCAUGCCAAUGGCAUUGCCUGGUAGCUAAAUGCGGAAGAGAUAAGUGCUGAAAGCAUCUAAGCACGAAACUUGCCCCGAGAUGAGUUCUCCCUGACCCUUUAAGGGUCCUGAAGGAACGUUGAAGACGACGACGUUGAUAGGCCGGGUGUGUAAGCGCAGCGAUGCGUUGAGCUAACCGGUACUAAUGAACCGUGAGGCUUAACCUU
rnacentral:rRNA from 1 species